CAAACGACUCUCGGCAACGGAUAUCUCGGCUCUCGCAUCGAUGAAGAACGUAGCGAAAUGCGAUACUUGGUGUGAAUUGCAGAAUCCCGUGAACCAUCGAGUCUUUGAACGCAAGUUGCGCCCGAAACCAUUAGGCGGAGGGCACGUCUGCCUGGGCGUCACGC
rnacentral:rRNA from 1 species